GGGUUUACCGCCGCAAAAAUUGGGGCAAUCAUAGAUAUACCACCGGAAAAACGGUUAUCGCGGAUGGCAGUGGAUCUUGGACCCGACCCACAUCCGUGGAUCCAGAUCUAUUUUUAAGGGUCUGAAUCUCAAUUUUUUGGACCUGACAGAUCGGGAUUCGGAUCUGGAUCUCAAUUUUUAAAACGGAUCUGGAUUCGAAUCUCAAAAUUUUAGAUCCG
rnacentral:lncRNA from 1 species